GAUGAACGCUGGCGGCGUGCUUAACACAUGCAAGUCGAACGAUGAAGCCCAGCUUGCUGGGUGGAUUAGUGGCGAACGGGUGAGUAACACGUGAGUAACCUGCCCUUGACUCUGGGAUAAGCCUGGGAAACUGGGUCUAAUACUGGAUAUGACUUCUCAUCGCAUGGUGGGGGGUGGAAAGAUUUAUUGGUCUUGGAUGGACUCGCGGCCUAUCAGCUUGUUGGUGAGGUAAUGGCUCACCAAGGCGACGACGGGUAGCCGGCCUGAGAGGGUGACCGGCCACACUGGGACUGAGACACGGCCCAGACUCCUACGGGAGGCAGAAGUGGGGAAUAUUGCACAAUGGGCGCAAGCCUGAUGCAGCGACGCCGCGUGAGGGAUGACGGCCUUCGGGUUGUAAACCUCUUUCAGUAGGGAAGAAGCGAGAGUGACGGUACCUGCAGAAGAAGCGCCGGCUAACUACGUG
rnacentral:rRNA from 1 species